AAAUGAUUAGUUAAAAUUUCAUAACAUUAAUUUGUCAAAUUAGAAUUAUUUUCUUUAAUAUCAUUUA
rnacentral:tRNA from 1 species